GAUGAACGCUGGCGGCGUGCCUAAUACAUGCAAGUCGAACGCACAGCGAAAGGUGCUUGCACCUUUCAAGUGAGUGGCGAACGGGUGAGUAACACGUGGACAACCUGCCUCAAGGCUGGGGAUAACAUUUGGAAACAGAUGCUAAUACCGAAUAAAACUUAGUGUCGCAUGACACAAAGUUAAAAGGCGCUUUGGCGCCACCUAGAGAUGGAUCCGCGGUGCAUUAGUUAGUUGGUGGGGUAAAGUCCUACCAAGACAAUGAUGCAUAGCCGAGUUGAGAGACUGAUCGGCCACAUUGGGACUGAGACACGGCCCAAACUCCUACGGGAGGCUGCAGUAGGGAAUCUUCCACAAUGGGCGAAAGCCUGAUGGGGCAACGCCGCGUGUGUGAUGAAGGCUUUCGGGUCGUAAAGCACUGUUGUAUGGGAAGAACAGCUAGAAUAGGGAAUGAUUUUAGUUUGACGGUACCAUACCAGAAAGGGACGGCUAAAUACGUGCCAGCAGCCGCAGUAA
rnacentral:rRNA from 1 species